CAUUAUUGAAUAACUUGGUUGGGUUGUUGCUGGCUUUUCGGAGCAUGUGCACACCUAGCACCAUUUUUACCACCUGUGCACAUUUUGUAGACUUGAAACACCUCUUGGGGAAACUCAGUUUGAGGAAUGCCCUUAGUGGCUUUCCUUGCGUCUCAAGUCUAUGUUUUUUAUAUACCCCAUAAGAAUGUAAUAGAAUGUCAUUAAUGGGCUUAUGCCUUUAAAUUAAUACAACUUUCAACAACGGAUCUCUUGGCUCUCGCAUCGAUGAAGAACGCAGCGAAAUGCGAUAAGUAAUGUGAAUUGCAGAAUUCAGUGAAUCAUCGAAUCUUUGAACGCACCUUGCGCUCCUUGGUAUUCCGAGGAGCAUGCCUGUUUGAGUGUCAUUAAAUUCUCAACCAUUUCAGCUUUUACAAGUUGAAUUGGCUUGGAUGUGGAGGUUUUUGCGGGCUUCUCAGAAGUCGGCUCCUCUUAAAUGCAUUAGCAGAACCUUUGUGGACCAGCUUUUGGUGUGAUAAUUAUCUACGCCAUGGUUGUGAAGCAGCUAUUAACAUGGGGUUCAGCUUCUAAUAGUCCAUUGACUUGGACAAUUUCUGACAUUUGACCU
rnacentral:rRNA from 1 species